GACAGAGGGGGCAAGCGUUGUCCGGAUUUACUGGGCGUACAGCGCGCGCAGGCGGAUGGGUAUGUGCCCUGUGACAUCUGGACGCUCAACGUCCAGCGGUCAGGGUACACAGCCGAUCUGGAGGCAUGGAGAGGGCAGUGGAAUACCCGGUGGAGCGGUGAAAUGCGUAGAGAUCGGGUGGAACACCAGUGGGGCAGCCGGCUGCCUGGCCAUGACCUGACGCUGAGGCGCGAUAGCGUGGGGAGCAAACGGG
rnacentral:rRNA from 1 species